CCCUCAGAUGAGAGCCAGGACAGGGACCCGAAGACACUGUGGUUCUCACAAGUGCAGCUGAUGAAGGGGGACUCCCUCUGUCUGAGCAGCUCUCUCAUCCAUCUGCUGACCUGGGCUUCCUGACUCUCUGUCCAGUGCUCUUACUCCCACUAUUCCAUGGUUGCAUUAUUCAGAGAAGCAGCUUGUGCCUUCACUGUAAUCUUCAUCCAGGAGGACCAGGAAGGAGCAGAGCAGCACUGACAUCUGCCCGUCCCUGGAGUGGGGCCAAGUGACUUAUAAAAGGCACAGACAUGACCUAAAGCCUGAUCACCCUGCUGGGGGCCCUCCUUGUGAAGACCACAUCUUAGGGGACAGCCAGCCAUUUGAGUUCCUUAAACAAAUCACCAAGAGUGUGCCUUCAGAAGCUCCUCCAUCCUGGGUCAGUACCCUUCGGCUGCAUCCCAUCACUAUAUUCUUGUGAUGUCUUUCUUCCCUCCCCAUGUCAAAAAUUACUCUCAGGAAAGAUCUGCAAACUCAUUCAUUCUGAUGGCGUUCCCUGAGGCUGUGCUGCCUUGGAUGCUGCUGUGAGUAUCACUAUUGCCAUUGUUACUGGUAACCAUUUACAAGCAUCUGCUAUGCACCAGGUACCCAGCAAAAUCUGGUGAUGCACAAGCGAUGGGAGAGUCAGACAGUGGACAACCAACUGCAACAAUUCCAGGGGGAAGGAUCGAUGCAGGGAGCUGAUUAAACUAGACAUCUCUGGCAGGAAGAAGAACUGGAAGGACUCACAGGCUCCGGUGGCCACCCUACAACCAGAAGACAGACAUCUAACAAUGUAUUGUCAGAUGAUGGAUUAGCCAGGCCUGGGGAAGAGAGCUGAGUGUGCAGCCUCCUUCCCUGUCUCCUGGGUGACAAAGCCGCUGGAUGACCCCGCCAACAAUAACGAGAUGAAAAUGAAGAACACUGCAGUAUAAUGAGCAUGAUAAAAAUAGAGAUGUUGCUAAAUAAUGGGUCGGCCAUGGCUGAGGAGCAGGAGAAAGAGCCAAGCCCAAAGGAAUUAGAUAAGGCCUUCCUGUGUGGUCUCCAAGCUUGACCCCCUGAUGUGUUACUGUUGCUCAACCAGGCCAUCGAUGGUUUUGAGUCCCUCAUGUGGCAAAGAUGUCAGAGCGGGAUUGGAGGGUGGGCCUAAGUGAAAAUCCCCAGCAGGCUCUAUCCUGGUCACUGUGGCUCUGACCUCCACCGGGGGAGGGACAAAGGUGUGGUCAGCACACAUGCUGAUGGUGGUUACGAAUUACUGCCUUUAGUAGGAACCUCUUGCCUGCCAAUGAGUAUCAGCAAAUAGUCUGAGUUAAUGCACCGAAGUUUUUCAGAACAUUGCACCUCUCAUCUACAUAGUGCAGAGUGGAAGAAGCUUGUUAAUUAUGCUUUUGUUUGUAUUUUUGUUUAGUUGGUAGCUUGGAGUAUCUGCCAGGAAAGGCAGGCGCCCCUCGGGAGGGAGGUACCCUGGUGCUACAGGGACGGCUGCCUGUGAAGCCUUCUGGCACCAACUCCCUCUGAGGUUUGUUUUUUAAUUUUUAAAUAAUUAAAUCAAGCCUAUUUUUGAAUAAGCAAUACAUACACAGAGUACAAAAUUUAAAAGGAACAAAAAGGGUGCGGCAAACAUAAAUAUCCCUUCCUCUUCUCCCCCUAUUCCCAGCCACCCAGUUUCCUUCCCUCGAGGCAACCACUGUUACUAGUUUCUUCUGCAUUUUUCCAGAGAUAUUCUAAGCAUAAAUAAGUGCAUGUACCCCACCCUCCAAACAUACGUACCAGUUGUUUUUUUUUAAAAAACACAAAUGCUAACGUACUGAUUCAACCAGAGUCCUGACAGAAAACAGAUGGCACACAUAAAGUGAGUCAUCUGAGUAGAGUUUAAUAAAUGGGCUUUUACCAAUGUGUAGGAAAAGCCCAAAGCCAGCAACACUUGAGUGAGAGGGCACGGUGACAUAGUGUGAGCAACACAGCCAGCGGAGGAGCAUUCCAGGGAGGUUCAGGGGCAUAAUCACCUGUCGUUCCUCUCCUCCCUCUGAUCUUUUGCUGCAGCACCUCAUGGGCUGAACUCAACCUGAGGCAGAGUACAAGAGUCUAUUGAUGCAGUUUAAAGAGGUCACUCUGGGGCAGGGAACAGGUGGGGAAGGGCCAAGAGUGGAUAAGGAGGGCAAAUGUGGGCACUCAGCUCAUGCACUCAGCACCUCAUCCUGUUCUUUGCUGUUUUCCACUUCACAGUCUAUCUGUACAUAUAGCCUCAUUCUUUCUGCUAGCUUAUUCUAUUGCAUUUCUGUUGUGGAAUACCAUGCCACAAGCAAGGGACUGAAUUGUGACUCCCACCCCAAUUAUAUGUUGAAGUCCUAACACCCAAAGUAACUGUAUGUAGAGGAGGAAGUCAUUAAAGUUGAAUGAGGUCAUAAGGGUGAUGCCUAGAAUAAGGCUUAUUAAGAGGAGACACAAGAGCUCUCUAUCUGUCAUGUGAGGACACAGCCAGAAGAUGGCAGUCUGCAAGCCAGGAACUCAUCAGAAACCCCAGCAGCAGGAACCUUGAUCUUGAACUUUCCAGUCUCCAGAACUGGGAGAAAGAAAUGUCUUCUGUUUAACACACCCAGGUCAUGGUAUUUUGUUAUGCCAGCCUGAGCUAAGACACCAUACACACACACACACACACACACACACACGUAAUAUAUCACAAAAAUAAUAAUAUA
rnacentral:lncRNA from 1 species